rnacentral:rRNA from 1 species
GACGAACGCUGGCGGCGUGCCUAAUACAUGCAAGUAGAACGCUGAAGAGAGGAGCUUGCUCUUCUUGGAUGAGUUGCGAACGGGUGAGUAACGCGUAGGUAACCUGCCUUGUAGCGGGGGAUAACUAUUGGAAACGAUAGCUAAUACCGCAUAACAAUGGAUGACACAUGUCAUUUAUUUGAAAGGGGCAAUUGCUCCACUACAAGAUGGACCUGCGUUGCAUUAGCUAGUAGGUGAGGUAAUGGCUCACCUAGGCGACGAUACAUAGCCGACCUGAGAGGGUGAUCGGCCACACUGGGACUGAGACACGGCCCAGACUCCUACGGGAGGCAGCAGUAGGGAAUCUUCGGCAAUGGGGGCAACCCUGACCGAGCAACGCCGCGUGAGUGAAGAAGGUUUUCGGAUCGUAAAGCUCUGUUGUAAGUCAAGAACGGGUGUGAGAGUGGAAAGUUCACACUGUGACGGUAGCUUACCAGAAAGGGACGGCUAACUACGUG